rnacentral:rRNA from 1 species
UCCUGCCGGAGGCGACCGCUGUGGGAGUCCGAUUAAGCCAUGCGAGUCGAGAGAAUAAGAUUCUCGGCAUACCGCUCAGUAACACGUGGAUAACCUGCCCUGUGCUGGGGGAUAACCUCGCGAAAGUGAGAACAAUACCCCAUGGGUCACUAUGCCUGGAACGGUUAGUGGCUGAAAGCUCCGGCGGCACAGGAUGGGUCUGCGGCGUAUCAGGUCGUAGGGGGUGUAACGUACCUCCUAGCCUUCGACGCGUACGGGUUGUGAGAGCAAUUGCCCGGAGAUGGACUCUGAGACACGAAUCCAGGCCCUACGGGGCGCAGCAGGCGCGAAAACUUGACAAUGCGAGAAAUCGUGAUCAGGGGACUCCAGUUGGCUGGAUCAAAAGUCCAGUCUGAACCGACUUUAAAUCGGUCGGGUAAUAGGGGCGGGAAAGACCGGUGCCAGCCGCCGCGGUAAUACCGGCGCCCCAAGUGGUCGUCACUAUUAUUGGGCCUAAAACGUCCGUAGCCGGUUUGGUAAAUCCGUGGGUAAAUCAGACAGCCCAACUGUCUGAAUUCUGCGGGGACUGCCAGACUUGAGACCGGGAGAGGUGCGGGGUACUUGCGGGGUACCGGUAAAAUGGGAUCAUCCCGUAGAGACCACCUGUUGCGAAGGCGCCGCACUAGAACGGAUCUGACGGUCAGGGACGAAGCCUAGGGGCACGAACCGGAUUAGAUACCCGGGUAGUCCUAGGUGUAAACGCUGUGGACUUGGUGUCGGGGACCUUCUGAGGGUUUCCGGUGCCGGAGUGAAGAUGUUAAGUCCACUGCCUGGGGAGUACGGUCG